rnacentral:rRNA from 1 species
UUGUAGGUGAAACCCCGGGAAGGAUCAUUACCGAGUU